GUACACGCUGUGACUAGCAUAUCAAUAAGCGGAGGAAAAGAAACUAACAAGGAUUCCCCUAGUAACGGCGAGUGAAGCGGGAAGAGCUCAAAUUUGAAAUCUUAAAGGGUUUCCCUUUACGAAUUGUAGUUUAAAGAAGUGUUUUCUGCUGAGGUUUUGGUAAAAGUUCUUUGGAAUAGGACAUCAUAGAGGGUGAGAAUCCCGUAUUUGACCUUUACUUUCAACUUUGUGAUACACUUUCAAAGAGUCGGAUUGUUUGGGAAUGCAGUCCAAAAUGGGUGGUAAAUUUCAUCUAAAGCUAAAUAUUGGCGAGAGACCGAUAGCGAACAAGUACCGUGAGGGAAAGAUGAAAAGAACUUUGAAAAGAGAGUUAAACAGUACGUGAAAUUGUCAAAAGGGAAGCGUUUGACACCAGUGUUGUUUUUCUGAAAAUCAAUUAAAGAACUGUUUAUGCUAAGUUGUUUAGACUUUAUCAGCUAACUGUUUAGUUUUGAGCUUUUCUUUAAUGCACUUUUCAGUUAACAAGUCAACAUCAAUUUCUUUUGCUGUAAAAAAGCUUGAGGAAGGUGGCUUGAGAUUCGUCUUAAGUGUUUAUAGCCUCUUGCCUAUGCAGUCGGAGAGAUUGAGGUCUGCAGCGUAGAUCCUUCGGGGCUAAAUGCAUUUGUGCUAAGUUAUAGCAUUUUAUAGACAACUUGUUGACUAUGAUUUGUCUUGUAGCUUACUCGCUUAUGUUAUUUUACCUACGCUUAGGAUGUUGAGUCGUAGAGCACGCAG
rnacentral:rRNA from 1 species